rnacentral:lncRNA from 1 species
GUGAUUUUUCCGUGCUGGCCUUGAACAUAUUGUUUGACGCUCCAGGGGAGUUUGGCUGCUUGAAGAACUGAAAAAAUGAGGGGAAGAACAAAGCUCUCUCAGAAACUUGAUUUUUUUCUCCACUGGAAUGUGGUGGAAAGAAUGCUGGGCCGGCUGGGUCCCUUCUGAUCCCAGCCCUGUUCUGUUACGGAGCAGCCUUGAGGAAGCCAUUUAAUCUCUGGGGGCUGGACUAGGAGAACAAGCUGCAGUGAGGACCUGAUAGUCAAAAUUACUUGGAGGAAAAUCACAGCUCUUCUCCCCUAGAAAGUCUGCUGAGUCUCACCAGGAGAAUCUCACAGGGAGGCUGCCACGAAUUCUCUCUGCAAGGACUGUGAAACUCAGGGUCCUGGAACCUGGGGAGAUCGAGGGACAACUGUACAUCAGCCUGCUGAGAAAUGUUUUGCAGGAUUCAUGAUUGGGAUCUUCGUACUAAGCCUUUCUUGAGGGAGUGUCUCAGACUCAACCAGCCUCAAUUUUCCCAUGAAUCCUUCUUCAUUGCCUUCCUAGAUUGCUACUCCGCAUCUCAGCUGACCCCAUACAAACAAACUCCAAUAGUGUCUCCAAUCGCGUGCUGUGUUAAAUUUUAACUUUAUAACCAACCAUCAUUUGCUACUUCCAUCUAACCAAGCCAGUUUCCUUAUGAUGCACACACUUGUGUUUAGCUCACAAUUUGUUCUACAUGCUUGCUUAUUUAUUCAUUCAGCAAGUAUUUAUUGAGCCCCAACUGUGCACUAGCUGCUGUCUCAGGUGCUGGGGAGACAGGAAGAUCAAAAUAAAACCCCUGCCUUCAAGUGCCUUAUUGUUUAAGGGUCAACAGAAUAAACACAUAAGUGAAUAUAUAUCAUGUGAGGUGGUAAAAAGGGCUGGGCAGAAAAUAAAGGUUGGAAAAGGAUGGAAAGUACUGGAGGGUGGUGUGAUUUUAGGCUGGAGCGUCAGGAAAAGCAGAGAAGAAAUGACUGUUACAGAUGGAAGUGAGUGGAAUGCUCCAAGCAGAGGGAACAGCAAGUGAAAGCGCCCUGUGGUAGAAGCAUAUUUGGCACAUGUGAGGGACUGCAUAAAGGCCAAUGUGGCUGCAUGGGGGUUUGGGAGAUGUAGGGACAAGGUCAGAGAGGUAGCCAAUGUCAGCAUCAUUGCUGUUAGGACUGGGUGGGACCCCAAAAGAAGUAUUAAAUAGUACCAUCUAGUUUUUGUUCUUGAGGAGGUCACGUGUUAAUAUACUGAUUGUUUGAGGUACAACAGAGUCAAAAAGGGGAUAAUUUAUCGAGGUACAAGCCUAGGAUAUGGGUUGCUCCUGUUGCCCCUAAGUCUACCACGCCUGCACAGAUCCUGCUAGUUCUUUCUUUUUUUUUUUGAGACGGAGUCUCGCUCUGUCGCCCAGGCUGGAGUACAGUGGUGCGAUGGCGGCUCACUGCAAGCUCCGCCUUCCGGGUUCACGCCAUUCUCC